GACGGAGGAUGCAAGCGUUAUCCGGAAUGAUUGGGCGUAAAGCGUCCGCAGGUGGCUAUGUAAGUCUGCUGUUAAAGAGUGAGGCUCAACCUCAUAAGAGCAGUGGAAACUACAUAGCUAGAGUGCGUUCGGGGCAGAGGGAAUUCCUGGUGUAGCGGUGAAAUGCGUAGAUAUCGAGAGGAACACCUGCGGCGAAGGCGGGUUGCUGGGCUGACACUGACGCUGAUGCGCGAAAGCCAGGGGAGCGAACGGG
rnacentral:rRNA from 1 species